UAUUAUUCAGAGUGCUUUUAUGCCUGAUCAGUAGUGAUGCCUGGUAGAAUUUUGACGUGACAUACUGUCAGUAGAAGGGAAAACAGCUGCCUAAACUAUGGCUUAUUUGAUAAGUCUCUGUAAAUGAAACUUGUCCCCUGAACACAUUUUGUGUUUCUUUAGGUCAAAGAUUCCCGAUGUCCAGAUCAUAAUGCGAGGACAGUUUGAGCCCAGUGC
rnacentral:lncRNA from 1 species